rnacentral:rRNA from 1 species
UGGGGAAUAUUGCACAAUGGGCGGAAGCCUGAUGCAGCGACGCCGCGUGAGGGAUGACGGCCUUCGGGUUGUAAACCUCUUUCGACAGGGACGAAGCGCAAGUGACGGUACCUGUAGAAGAAGCACCGGCCAACUACGUGCCAGCAGCCGCGGUAAUACGUAGGGUGCGAGCGUUGUCCGGAAUUACUGGGCGUAAAGAGCUUGUAGGCGGUUCGUCGCGUCGAUCGUGAAAACAUACAGCUCAACUGUGUGCUUGCGGUCGAUACGGGCGGACUAGAGUACUGCAGGGGAGACUGGAAUUCCUGGUGUAGCGGUGAAAUGCGCAGAUAUCAGGAGGAACACCGGUGGCGAAGGCGGGUCUCUGGGCAGUAACUGACGCUGAGAAGCGAAAGCGUGGGUAGCGAACAGGAUUAGAUACCCCCGUAGUCC